rnacentral:rRNA from 1 species
CGGACGGGUGAGUAACGCGUGGAAAACCUGCCGUAUACUGGGGGAUAACACUUAGAAAUAGGUGCUAAUACCGCAUAAGCGCACAGCUUCGCAUGAAGCGGUGUGAAAAACUCUGGUGGUAUACGAUGGUUCCGCGUCUGAUUAGCUAGUUGGUGGGGUAAUGGCCUACCAAGGCAACGAUCAGUAGCCGGCCUGAGAGGGUGAUCGGCCACAUUGGGACUGAGACACGGCCCAAACUCCUACGGGAGGCAGCAG